AGUUGGUCCAAGGGUUGUGGGCAUUGUUAAGCUUAUUUAGCACUGUUUCUCCCUGCAACCAUCACAACUAUGCUUGACUAGCUAAAG
ensembl:misc_RNA Y_RNA Y RNA